rnacentral:rRNA from 1 species
GCACUUUGGAAGAGAGUUAAACAGUACGUGAAAUUGCUAAAAGGGAAACGCUUGAAGUCAGUCGCGUCGUCCGGAACUCAGCUUUGCUUCGGCUUAGUGCACUUUCCGGUUGACGGGCCGCAUCGAUUUUGACCGCUGAAAGGGCUGGAGGAAUGUGGCACCUUCGGGUGUGUUAUAGCCUUCAGUCGCAUACAGCGGUUGGGAUCGAGGAACGCAGCGGG